rnacentral:rRNA from 1 species
GUAACGGCGAGUGAAGCGGCAACAGCUCAAAUUUGAAAUCUGGCCUCCUCGGGGUCCGAGUUGUAAUUUGUAGAGGGUGUUUCGGGCGCGAUGCCGGUCUAAGUUCCUUGGAACAGGACGUCGUAGAGGGUGAGAAUCCCGUAUGCGAUCGGCGAUCAAGCCUGUGUGAAGCCCCUUCGACGAGUCGAGUUGUUUGGGAAUGCAGCUCAAAAUGGGUGGUAAAUUUCAUCUAAAGCUAAAUAUUGGCCAGAGACCGAUAGCGGACAAGUAGAGUGAUCGAAAGAUGAAAAGCACUUUGGAAAGAGAGUCAAACAGUACGUGAAAUUGUUGAAAGGGAAGCGCUUGCAAUCAGACCGGUCCGGAGGUGAUCAGCCGCUGCUCGUCAGCGGUGCACUCGCCUGCGAUCCGGCCAGCAUCGGUUUGGGCGGUGGGAUAAAAGUCCCGGGAAUGUAGCUUCCUUCGGGGAGUCUUAUAGCCCGGGUCGCAAUGCCGCCCGCCUGGACCGAGGACCGCGCUUCGGCU